rnacentral:rRNA from 1 species
GCAGUCGACGAGGUGCUUUGCACCUAGUGGCGAACGGGUGAGUAACAGNNAUCUAACCUACCUUUUAGUGGGGGAUAACAGUUGGAAACGACUGCUAAUACCGCAUACGACACCAUUAUGGCAUCAGAAGGUGUUAAAAGGCCCGUUUGGGUCGCUAGAAGAUGGGGAUGCGGCGUAUUAGCUAGUAGGUGGGGUAAUUGCCCACCUAGGCAAUGAUACGUACCCGAACUGAGAGGUUGAUCGGCCACAUUGGGACUGAGAUACGGCCCAGACUCCUACGGGAGGCAGCAGUAGGGAAUUUUUCACAAUGGACGAAAGUCUGAUGAAGCAAUGCCGCGUGAGUGAUGACGGUCUUCGGAUUGUAAAGCUCUGCUGUAAGGGAAGAAUAGGUAAAAGAGGAAAUGCUUUUAUUUUGACGGUACCUUACCAGAAAGCCACGGCUAACUAUGUGCCAGCAGCCGCGGUAAUACAUAGGUGGCAAGCGUUAUCCGGAUUUAUUGGGCGUACAGGGUGCGUAGGCGGUUCGAUAAGUUUGAGGUUAAAUCCCCGGGGCUCCACCCGGGUUCGCCUUGAAGACUGACUUACUAAAAUACAGGAGAGGUAGAUG